AAAGAGUACACGAUUUAUUAAUGGACUGAAUGCAAAUUUCACAUUCUUGUUUGUCAUAAAUGUUGAUUCGACAUGAACAUACAGAAUAUACACAGAAACCAGUGAUAGCGAUGAAAGAUAUUUGUAACGUUACACGCUGCCCUUUUGCAUCUCAGAGUUCAACUUCGCCCAUUGCAGUAGUUCACACCAUUAGCAGUGUCAUGUUGCUUUGUGUUUACUCGAUUAUCGCCCCAUAUACGAAUUGUACCAUCAUCACUCGCAGAUGCCAGCAUAUGAGGAUUUGUUGGGUUCCAGCUAACACAGUUCACCGCCCCUGAAUGUCCAGCCAGUGUCGCAACAAGUUCACCUGAGCCUCUGUGCCAUAUAUAAACCUGUGAAUCCUCGCUUCCACUGGCAAUAAAAGCUUGAUCUAGUCCUCCAAAGCAAGACCUCACAACGAACCGAGAACGUUUAUGCCCCUUAUAUUUGGCUACAAGUUUUACAGUUCCCUCGAUAUUCCAGAGAUGAAUUUCUUGGUUUGAAAGACUAACCAACACAUACUUACUGUCCAUGGACAAUACAAAUGAGGUUAUUGCCUGAUCCUCCUGAAUUACUCUCUCUACUUUUGAUUCCCAUCCAACUAAUACUAUCAUAUUUUCUUUACAAACAGAGAUAACAUGCUUCCCAUCACUUGUUAUCCCCAAGUCCGAUAUUCUAGUAGCCCUGUGGCCUUUCCAACACUCAAGCUCUUUCCCUUCCAAAUCCCACAUGCUAAUGCUUUUGUCAGUUACACCACAGAAUAUCCUUUUUCCAUCAGGAGCCCAGCCGCAUGAGAUAAACUUAACAAAUUUUUUCUCAUAAGUGUGUAUACGUACACCGGACUCGACAUCCCACCGAAUGACAGCUUCCUCUUCACCACAAGUGAGAAGCUGAUGGUCA
rnacentral:misc_RNA from 1 species